UACGAAGGGGGCUAGCGUUGCUCGGAAUCACUGGGCGUAAAGGGCGCGUAGGUGGCGACCCAAGUCCAUGGUGAAAGCUCGAUGCUCAACAUCGAGUCGGCCACGGAUACUGGGUUGCUGGAGCACUGUAGAGGCAGAUGGAAUUCCGGGUGUAGCGGUGGAAUGCGUAGAGAGUCCGGAAGAACACCGGUGGCGAAGGCGGUCUGCUGGGCAGUUGCUGACACUGAGGCGCGACAGCGUGGGAGCAAACAGG
rnacentral:rRNA from 1 species